rnacentral:rRNA from 1 species
UACGAAGGAUGCAAGCGUUAUCCGGAUUCAUUGGGUUUAAAGGGAGCGUAGGCGGACUUGUAAGUCAGUGGUGAAAUCUGUGGGCUUAACCCACAAACUGCCAUUGAUACUGCAAGUCUUGAGUACAGUUGCCGUUGGCGGAAUAUGACAUGUAGUGGUGAAAUACUUAGAUAUGUCAUAGAACACCGAUUGCGAAGGCAGCUAACGAAGCUGUAACUGACGCUGAGGCUCGAAAGUGCGGGGAUCAAACAGG